GUUAGGAAUAUUGGACAAUGGACGCAAGUCUGAUCCAGCCAUGCCGCGUGAGUGAUGAAGGCCUUCGGGUUGUAAAGCUCUUUAGCCGAUGAUUAUAAUGACUGUAGUCGGAAAAUAAGCCCCGGCUAACUUCGUGCCAGCAGCCGCGGUAAUACGAAGGGGGCGAGCGUUAUUCGGAAUCACUGGGCGUAAAGCGUGCGUAGGCGGCUUUGCAAGUUGGGAGUGAAAGCCCAGGGCUCAACCCUGGAAUUGCUCUCAAAACUGCAAGGCUCGAAUUCGGGAGAGGAUAGCGGAAUUGUCAGUGUAGCAGUGAAAUGCGUAGAUAUUGACAGGAACACCAGUGGCGUAAGCGGCUAUCUGGACCGAUAUUGACGCUGAGGCACGAAAGCGUGGGGAUCAAACAGGAUUAGAUACCCCAGUAGUCC
rnacentral:rRNA from 1 species